rnacentral:rRNA from 1 species
GAUGAACGCUGGCGGCGUGCCUAAUACAUGCAAGUCGAGCGAACAGAUGAGGAGCUUGCUCCUCUGACGUUAGCGGCGGACGGGUGAGUAACACGUGGAUAACCUACCUAUAAGACUGGGAUAACUUCGGGAAACCGGAGCUAAUACCGGAUAAUAUAUUGAACCGCAUGGUUCAAUAGUGAAAGACGGUUUUGCUGUCACUUAUAGAAGGAUCCGCGCCGCAUUAGCUAGUUGGUAAGGUAACGGCUUACCAAGGCGACGAUGCGUAGCCGACCUGAGAGGGUGAUCGGCCACACUGGAACUGAGACACGGUCCAGACUCCUACGGGAGGCAGCAGUAGGGAAUCUUCCGCAAUGGGCGAAAGCCUGACGGAGCAACGCCGCGUGAGUGAUGAAGGUCUUCGGAUCGUAAAACUCUGUUAUUAGGGAAGAACAAAUGUGUAAGUAACUAUGCACGUCUUGACGGGACCUAAUCAGAAAGCCACGGCUAACUACGU